UACGUAGGGUGCGAGCGUUGUCCGGAAUUACUGGGCGUAAAGAGCUCGUAGGUGGUUUGUCGCGUUGUUCGUGAAAUCUCACGGCUUAACUGUGUGCGUGCGGGCGAUACGGGCAGACUGGAGUACUGCAGGGGAGACUGGAAUUCCUGGUGUAGCGGUGGAAUGCGCAGAUAUCAGGAGGAACACCGGUGGCGAAGGCGGUUCUCUGGGCCGAUACUGACGCUGAGGAGCGAAAGCGUGGGGAGCGAACAGG
rnacentral:rRNA from 1 species